rnacentral:rRNA from 1 species
GAUGAACGCUGGCGGCAUGCCUAAUACAUGCAAGUCGAACGAGAUUAGCUUGCUAAUCGAGUGGCGAACGGGUGAGUAACACGUUGGUAAUCUACCUUUCAGUUGGGGAUACCCGGACGAAAGUCUGGCUAAUACCGUAAUACGUAAUAGGGUGCAAUUCCUUAUUAUAAAAGGUCCUUUCGGAUCACUGAUUGAUGAGCCUGCGUCUGAUUAGCUAGUUGGUGAGAUAAUAGCCCACCAAGGCGAGGAUCAGUAGCCGACCUGAGAGGGUGAUCGGCCACAAUGGAACUGAGACACGGUCCAUACUCCUACGGGAGGCAGCAGUAGGGAGUUUUCGACAAUGGGCGCAAGCCUGACCCAGCAACGCCGCGUGAAGGAAGAAGGCUUUCGGUUGU